rnacentral:rRNA from 1 species
CCGGUGCUUGCAUUGGGGAUUAGUGGCGAACGGGUGAGUAACACGUGAGUAACCUGCCCUUAACUCUGGGAUAAGCCUUGGAAACGGGGUCUAAUACUGGAUAUUGACUUUACCUCGCAUGGGGUUUUGUUGAAAGAUUUAUUGGUUUUGGAUGGACUCGCGGCCUAUCAGCUUGUUGGUGAGGUAAUGGCUCACCAAGGCGACGACGGGUAGCCGGCCUGAGAGGGUGACCGGCCACACUGGGACUGAGACACGGCCCAGACUCCUACGGGAGGCAGCAGUGGGGAAUAUUGCACAAUGGGCGAAAGCCUGAUGCAGCGACGCCGCGUGAGGGAUGACGGCCUUCGGGUUGUAAACCUCUUUCAGUAGGGAACAAGGCCAGCAUUUUUGUUGGUUGAGGGUACUUGCAGAAGAAGCGCCGGCUAACUACGUGCCAGCAGCCGCGGUAAUACGUAGGGCGCAAGCGUUAUCCGGAAUUAUUGGGCGUAAAGAGCUCGUAGGCGGUUUGUCGCGUCUGCCGUGAAAGUCCGGGGCUCAACCCCGGAUCUGCGGUGGGUACGGGCAGACUAGAGUGAUGUAGGGGAGACUGGAAUUCCUGGUGUAGCGGUGAAAUGCGCAGAUAUCAGGAGGAACACCGAUGGCGAAGGCAGGUCUCUGGGCAUUAACUGACGCUGAGGAG